UGGGAGUUUUUUUUCUUAAAAUACUAAAUUCAUUCAUACACUGCAACAGGGAACUCAGUGGUUAACAGGCUAGCAGUUAAAUGAGUGGAUCAAGUCACCUUUUUGCCAUCUUUAUCAAUUAGUGAAGAUAAGGGGCUUGGACAGCUUGGUACUGGUAGCCAUUUCCAAAGUAGUUGCCAUGAUUGGGAGAGAAGCUGUAAGUAGCAGAACCCAGCAGAGAGGGGCCGUGGUUGUCAGCAGGUCCGGUGUAAACAUAGGGUCUGUCAUACACAUAUUGGGGAUACCUAUCGGCAACUCUAGGAUAGAAUGCCUUGUCAGCCGCAACAUUAGUGACUCGAGGCCCGUAUCCAGCACCAUUGGCACGGGGUCUCUUUGGUUGCGGCUUGGCA
rnacentral:lncRNA from 1 species